AUACGGAGGAUGCGAGCGUUAUCCGGAUUUAUUGGGUUUAAAGGGAGCGCAGGCGGAGAUGCAAGCGUGACGUCAAAUUUCGGGGCUCAACCCCGUCUCGCGUCGCGAACUGCGUCCCUUGGUUGCGGGAAGGGGAGGCGGAACUCGUGGUGUAGCGGUGAAAUGCAUAGAUAUCACGAAGAACUCCGAUCGCGAAGGCAGCCUUCCGGCCCGUCAACGACGCUCAUGCUCGAAGGUGCGGGUAUCAAACAGGAUUAGAUACCCUGGUAGUCCGCACAGUAAACGAGGGACACCCGCGGUUUGGCCUAUAUGGCUGAGCCGCCAAGCGAAAGCGUUAAGUGUCCCACCUGGGGAGUACGCCGGCAACGGUGAAACUCAAAGGAAUUGACGGGG
rnacentral:rRNA from 1 species